rnacentral:rRNA from 1 species
AGUGAACGCUGGCGGUAGGCCUAACACAUGCAAGUCGAACGGCAGCACAGUAAGAGCUUGCUCUUACGGGUGGCGAGUGGCGGACGGGUGAGGAAUACAUCGGAAUCUACUUUUUCGUGGGGGAUAACGUAGGGAAACUUACGCUAAUACCGCAUACGACCUACGGGUGAAAGCAGGGGAUCUUCGGACCUUGCGCGAUUGAAUGAGCCGAUGUCGGAUUAGCUAGUUGGCGGGGUAAAGGCCAAGCAAGGCGACGAUCCGUAGCUGGUCUGAGAGAAUGGUCAGCCACACUGGAACUGAGACACGGUCCAGACUCCUACGGGAGGCAGCAGUGUGGAAUAUUGGACAAUGGGCGCAAGCCUGAUCCAGCCAUACCGCGUGUGUGAAGAAGGCCUUCGGGUUGUAAAGCCCUUUUGUUGGGAAAGAAAAGCAGCAGGUUAAUACCCCGCUGUUCUGACGGUACCCAAAGAAUAAGCACCGGCUAACUUCGUG